UGAAUACGAGGCACUAAGGUGCUGAAGUAGUGUAUGUCAUACUUCCAAGAAAAGCUUGCACUAUCGUAAGAUAAAAAUGCCUGUACCAUAACCGACACAGGUGGGUAGGUAGAGUAUACUAAGGGGCGCGAGAUAACUCUCUCUAAGGAACUCGGCAAAAUAACUCCGUAACUUCGGGAGAAGGAGUGCCUUAUUCUAUAAGGUUGCAAUAACAAGAUCCAAGCAACUGUUUAUCAAAAACACAGGUCUCCGCUAAGUCGUAAGACGAUGUAUGGGGGCUGACGCCUGCCCAGUGCCAGAAGGUUAAAGAAGUCGGUUAGCAAUUGCGAAGCUGGUAACUGAAGCCCUGGUGAACGGCGGCCGUAACAAUAACGGUCCUAAGGUAGCGAAAUUCCUUGUCGGGUAAGUUCCGACCCGCACGAAAGGCGUAAUGAUUUGGAUACUGUCUCGGAGAGGGACUCGGUGAAAUAGACUUGUCUGUGAAGAUGCGGACUACCUGCACCAGGACAGAAAGACCCUAUGAAGCUUUACUGUAACUUGAAAUUGAAAUUGGACUUUAUUCGCGCAGUAUAGGUGGGAGGCGUUGAUUAUAAUCUUGUGGGAUUAUUGGAGCCAUUAGUGAGAUACCACUCUUGUAAUGUUAGAUUUCUAACUUUGAAUCAUGAUCUGGUCAAAGAACAGUUUCAGGCAGGCAGUUUGACUGGGGCGGUCGCCUCCUAAAUGGUAACGGAGGCGUACAAAGGUUUCCUCUGAACGGGUAGAAAUCGUAUCUAGAGUGUAAAGGCAUAAGGAAGCUUGACUGUGAGACCUACAAGUCGAGCAGGGACGAAAGUCGGUCUUAGUGAUCUGACGGUACUGAGUGGAAAGGCCGUCACUCAACGGAUAAAAGUUACUCUAGGAUAACAGGCUGAUCUCCCCCAAGAGUUCACAUCGACGGGGAGGUUUGGCACCUCGAUGUCGGCUCAUCGCAUCCUGGGGCGGUAGUACGUCCCAAGGGUUGGGCUGUUCGCCCAUGAAAGCGGUACGCGAGCUGGGUUCGGAACGUCGUGAGACAGUUCGGUCCAUAUCCGGUGUAGGCGUUAGAAUAUUGAGAGGAGCCUUCUUUAGUACGAGAGGACCGAGAAGGACAUACCUCUGGUGUACCAGUUAUCGUGCCAACGGUAAACGCUGGGUAGCUAUGUAUGGAGUGGAUAACCGCUGAAAGCAUCUAAGUGGGAAGCCCACCUCAAGAUAAGUAUUC
rnacentral:rRNA from 1 species